rnacentral:lncRNA from 13 species
AUGAGCUACUCCAUCAAGCCUGUGAGUAACAUCAUUACCAGGGCAACAACAAAGAUGGCUGCCUCCAAUCAGCUUAGUUCAGAGACCCUCCAGGCAGCAUCAGCAAAAUCAUCUGCUGUGGCUCAGAACCUUAUUAGUUCGGUUUUAUUUAAAGUUGCCACGGUGUCCUGCUCUGAUGACUUAGAGGGUCUGGGUGAUCAUCUCAGAUGCCCCUCAACUUUGACCAGAGUUCUGACACCUUUGACCUCAGAGAAAGCUACACUGACACCUGCUGUUCUGAAGAUCAAAAGGGAGAUGUCUAAGGAAGUGGCCACCGAACUCCAGAGUUUCUUGAUCAAGGAAUCCCUUACUGGCACCCAGACACCAUCCAAUGGACAUGUUUGCACUUCUGGUUCUGCCCCAAGGGAAGCUGUGCGGGACAUCCUGAGGAAAACCAAAGAGGAGGCUUCCAACAAAAGCCUGAAUAAUAUUUUCUCUGUUAAUUUGGAUGAGCGGCUCACAGACUCUAUUGCAGAUGCCUUAUAUCCAAAGCUUUAUGACCGAUUGGAGUCCAAAAGUGAGCUGCAGGCUUCUUAUUACAGCUCCCAGAUCAGCUGUAGCCUCAGCCCCUUCAAAGUUGAGAGCAGCCUAGAGCUCCAGGAGUUCACUGACCCACUAUCUGAGUCAGUAUUGUGUCUCCUGGAUAGGACAUUUGGAGAUAAAGCUCAGAACUUAAAGACAGGCGGGGGUGUUUUACAAUAUGUCACAGACCCAACCUAUAAGAAGCUUUUGAUUGGACCCCACACCAACGACGUCAAUGUGGUUAUGCACACGAUUGCAGUGGAGGAGUUGCCUGUUGAGGGUUGUAUUGCGCAAAGUGAGGCCAUUCAUGGCCUUCACAAGAAGCAAGAGUUACCUUCCAACACCAGUGGCAGAGGGAAUGAGACCCCGAGCCCUACUAAUUGUCUACUGGAGGGUGUAGUGGGCAAACUGGUACGGAAGAUGCUAUUUCAGGGCCUUGACAUCCCUGAGGUACCCAUGAACUACAGCCGCUCUGAGAACUUUAAGCUACAGAAUGAACUGGUGGCAAAGCUUUGUCCUCUGAUGGUAAGGACAAUCAUGGCUACAACCAUAGCCAAUCAACAACCUACUAUUCAAGAAGCAGUGAUGUCUUCCGAGAACAUCCAUGUGAAAGAGCUGUGUGAGGCAGGUAUCAAACACCUCAAAGAGAACCAUGUACCCGAUGACUCUGAGACAAACAUCAUGGUCAGAGGGGCUUUGAGUGAAAUUGAAUCCUGUAUGAUUGAGACCUCCGACAAGGACUCUCCCAGUCUACAUUCCACACCAGAGGUGGUUGUAGACCUGAUCACCAAGCUGCUUCAUGGGUAUGAGCUUAACUCAGAGGACUUUGCAUCACCUGUGUCAUCCCCAACCACCACUCUCUCUGAUGUGGCAAUGGACAUGGUGGUUUCUGUCCUUCGGGACAUGUCCGAUUCCCCAGACGUUACCUCAGCAUUGGAAAUGACCAAGGAUCUCAAGACGCCGUACUCCCGCCCCUCAAGUGCAAGGAUUGUAAGUGCCCUCUGCAGAGAGCUGGAGGAGCACAUGGGCUCUCCUGAUGCUCUGAGGCGAGCUUUGAGCCGUGGCAGCGGGGAGAUGACAACAGCCAUUGCGAGUGCAGUCACCAGGGAAGUCAACCGUCUGGGUUCAAUUGUACCCAAAGUCUCUAUCAGGCCGCUCUCCUCAGACAUCUGCCUAAGGACAGACCAGGACAAGGUCAUGGUUAAGAGCCGAUGUGGCUCGGCUGAGGUGAAGGCAUCCCAACCGGUGUAUAUUAUUGUUCAUGUAGAGGCGGUGAUGGAUAUCAUUGUCCGGCUGCGGUCUCUGAUUGUUCCUCGGACCCAGGAUAAACUGGCCAGCUGGACCCUAGUUGAGGAUGUGACCAACAAGCUGUCCAGUGCUCUGUGGGUGAGGGUGACUAACAGGUGGAGGGAAGCAAAUGUCUGCCUGAAGGCAACAGACAUCUUUCAGUUGGUGCUGUCUGUGCAUAGAAAGUUGAUGCAACGCUAUGGCACAGAGGAAGCCCUACAGAAGAUACUGUGCCACAAGGCACCCAAGCUGCACAAGGACAUUGUCUGUCUUGUCACGAACGGAAUUAUGGAUGCACCAUCCAAACUUCAAAGCACCAAAAAUCUGGAAUCUACACUCAACUUGAAAGAAUUGACAGCCUUGUUUAAUGAAAUGACAACCCGUCAAUCUUUGAAUAAGAAAGCUGAGCAGAGCAGCAUGAAGACUGAGAUUGAACANNNNNNNNNNCAGAGACCCUCCAGGCAGCAUCAGCAAAAUCAUCUGCUGUGGCUCAGAACCUUAUUAGUUCGGUUUUAUUUAAAGUUGCCACGGUGUCCUGCUCUGAUGACUUAG